rnacentral:misc_RNA from 1 species
GGAAAUAAAAGUCGUAACAAGGUCUCCGUUGGUGAACCAGCGGAGGGAUCAUUACGGAGUUGCAAAACUCCCAAACCAUUGUGAACGUUACCUAUCCCGUUGCUUCGGCGGGCGGCCCGGGCCCCGCGCCCGGCGCCCCCCGGCCCCCCGUGGGCGCCCGCCGGAGGUAAACCAAACCCUUGAAUUGCAUGGCCUCUCUGAGUCUUCUGUACUGAAUAAGUCAGAACUUUCAACAACGGAUCUCUUGGUUCUG